rnacentral:rRNA from 1 species
GACGGAGGGGGCAAGCGUUGUCCGGAGUUACUGGGCGUAAAGCGCACGUAGGCGGCCUUGUGCGUCGGUUCUGAAAGCGCCGGGCUUAACCCGGCGAGGCGUGCCGAUACGACGAGGCUCGAGGCAGGCAGAGGGUGGCGGAAUUCCGGGUGUAGUGGUGAAAUGCGUAGAGAUCCGGAGGAACGCCGGUGGUGAAGACGGCCACCUGGGCCUGACCUGACGCUGAGGUGCGAAAGCGUGGGGAGCGAACCGG